GACAGAUCCGGGUAGUAGAUGAAGACCAAAAGCUGUGUGCAGUCAAUUUACUGGCAGGGUACCUUGAUCUUCUGGGUCCUAGCAUCAGGGCGUUCUGCGGUCACAGCCUCAUCUUCAUCACCUUGCCCU